AGUAGACCGCCUGGGGAGUACGGCCGCAAGGUUAAAACUCAAAUGAAUUGACGGGGGCCCGCACAAGCGGUGGAGCAUGUGGUUUAAUUCGAUGCAACGCGAAGAACCUUACCUGGUCUUGACAUCCACAGAAGAAUCCAGAGAUGGAUUUGUGCCUUCGGGAACUGUGAGACAGGUGCUGCAUGGCUGUCGUCAGCUCGUGUUGUGAAAUGUUGGGUUAAGUCCCGCAACGAGCGCAACCCUUAUCCUUUGUUGCCAGCGGUUAGGCCGGGAACUCAAAGGAGACUGCCAGUGAUAAACUGGAGGAAGGUGGGGAUGACGUCAAGUCAUCAUGGCCCUUACGACCAGGGCUACACACGUGCUACAAUGGCGCAUACAAAGAGAAGCGACCUCGCGAGAGCAAGCGGACCUCAUAAAGUGCGUCGUAGUCCGGAUUGGAGUCUGCAACUCGACUCCAUGAAGUCGGAAUCGCUAGUAAUCGUGGAUCAGAAUGCCACGGUGAAUACGUUCCCGGGCCUUGUACACACCGCCCGUCACACCAUGGGAGUGGGUUGCAAAAGAAGUAGGUAGCUUAACCUUCGGGAGGGCGCUUACCACUUUGUGAUUCAUGACUGGGGUGAAGUCGUAACAA
rnacentral:rRNA from 1 species